rnacentral:rRNA from 1 species
ACGGCCAUACCAUGCUGAAUAUACCGGUUCUCGUUAGAUCACCGAAGUCAAGCAUCAUUGGGCGUAGUACUUGGGUGGGUGACCACCUGGGAACACCGCGUGCCGUU